rnacentral:lncRNA from 1 species
GUAGGUGUGGAAGAGGAUGGUUUCCGGACCCAGACUCCCUCAACCUUAUCAAAUCCCAUCCUGUGAAGAGUUCCCUCACCCAUGCGAUCUGUGUAUCGCAGUGUGCGAGAGGGUUCCCCCUCAGGAAUGGGGACCUCUAACUCCCUGAAGAUCAAUGUGUACAGCAUCCCAUAGGGAAGAGUGAGCCUAGGUUUGUCUAGAGGCUCACAUAGGUAUUUAUAGAUAAGC